GACGAACGCUGGCGGCGUGCUUAACACAUGCAAGUCGAACGGACAGGCCCUGCUUUUGUGCGGUGCUCGAGUGGCGAACGGGUGAGUAGCACGUGAGUAACCUGCCCUUCACUUUGGGAUAUCUUCAUGACGCUGGGGCUAAUACCGGAUAGGAUCUCCUGCUGCAUGGUGGGGGUUGGAAAGUUUCGGCGGUUGGGUAUGGAGUCGCCGCUGCUCAGCUUGUUAGUGGGGUAGUGGCUUACCAAGGCUCUGACGGGUAGCCGGCCUGACAGGGUGACCGGCCACACUGGGACUGGGAUGCGGCACAGACUCCUACGGGAGGCAGCGGUGGAGAAUAUUGCACAGUGGGCGGAAGCCUGAUGCAGCAACGCCGCGUGCGGGAUGACGGCCUUCGGGUUGUAAACCGAUUUCGCCUGUGCCGAGGCGUGAGUGACGGUAAUGGGUAAAGAAGCACCGGCUAACUACGUG
rnacentral:rRNA from 1 species